UGUUGUUGUUCCCUUGAGAUUUCCUCAAUUUUCUCAAUCCCUCCCAACCCCUCUUCAAAUUUCUCACACACACACACCAAGCCCUAGCUCUGUAUCUAUCUGCCCUACACCUGUAUCUAUCACUCAUACAUACACAUCGGACCUAUACAGGCCAUUCAACCUUUUGGUAUCUUCUUUCUCUCUCUCUUCCAUAUGCUUUUUUCUAUUUUCUCUCUCUAGAAUAACACAACAAGCACUCUGUUCUUUGGUUUCGAGUUAUGGCGUCUGCAGAUACUGAGCUGGAGCGACAACUUAAGGAGAUAGGGAAACAGUUAUCGCAUCCGCAUGAUUCGGUUGAGGAACUCCUUCAUGUUCUUGAUACCAAUGAUGAAUAAGAGACCUUUUUGAAUGCGUGAGGUAUUUAUGUGUGUUUUUAAUUAUAAAAACAUACUUGGAACAAUCGCUAUUGGGACUGAUCUUGUAUGGAAUAUUGACACCACAUUUGGAUGGGAGGCUGGCAGGCGGCAGCAUUUGCUGAGUUGAUCCCGGGGUUGGACUGGUAGGCACUCUUAAGACCGCCACAGGCGAGCUUCCUGUCAGCGCUGUUGCUAGCAGCACUGUUAAGUCUUUUAACACCAGCACACCGGUUUGUAGAAAGUGGAGAAGCUUCUAUUGAAGGUUGACCAGUCGCGAAAUGAUCGAUGCUAGCUGCACUGAGGCCAUCAAUGAAUGUGUUGAUCAAAGAUAGUCUAUCAAAACAUUCAGAUAUCGACGUGAAAGUAGCGGUCGCUUCCUGCAUCAGUGAAAGAACAAGAAUUACAGCUCCUGAUGCACCCUACACUGAUGACCAAAUGAGGGAUGUCUUUGAGUUAAUUGUAUCUUCUUUUGAGGAUUUAUCCGACCGCUCCAGCCGCUCUUACAACAAGCGGGCCUCGAUUCUUGAAACUGUUUCUAAACUCAAACAGCUGACCUAGGGUUUUAGAAUCAACAAUGGCAACAGAAGGACUAAGAUUCAGGCGCUGGCGAACCUCUUAUCGACGCCGACAAUGGCGAGGAGCUUAUGCACGUCCAACCGGCCGUCGCUAUUGUUCUCGCCAGCCACCCUCCAGGGUCUCCCGGAACUCUCUAUAUCUCCACCAAAUGAAGUUGAUCCGGAAUGGGAUUCAUCACAAACCACAAUUGGUCAUGUGGAUGGAAAUAGUGACCUAGCUCACAGUGUGCUUGAGGUAUUCUUUUAUUUUAUUAUUCUCAAUCUGCACACAUUAUUUAACAUGAUGCUGAGAUCAAGCAAUUAAUCUUUUAUGUUAGUAUUUCAUUAUACUUAAUCAACAAUCUGAAUU